rnacentral:tRNA from 1 species
GCCGGGCUAGCUCAAUCGGUAGAGCGUGAGACUCUUAAUUUCAAGGCUGCGGGUUCGACCCCCGCGUUCGGCU